AACGAACGCUGGCGGCAGGCCUAACACAUGCAAGUCGAACGCAUCCUUCGGGGUGAGUGGCGCACGGGUGAGUAACACGUGGGAAUGUACCCUUUGGUUCGGAAUAACGUUUGGAAACGAACGCUAAUACCGGAUGAGCCCUACGGGGGAAAGAUUUAUCGCCAAAGGAGCAGCCCGCGUCUGAUUAGCUAGUUGGUGGGGUAAAGGCCUACCAAGGCGACGAUCAGUAGCUGGUCUGAGAGGAUGAUCAGCCACACUGGAACUGAGACACGGUCCUGACUCCUACGGGAGGCAGCAGUGGGGAAUAUUGCACAAUGGGCGAAAGCCUGAUGCAGCAACGCCGCGUGAGGGAUGAAGGUCUUCGGAUUGUAAACUCCUGUUGUUGAGGAAGAUAAUGACGGUACUCAACAAGGAAGUGACGGCUAACUACGUGCCAGCCGCCGCCGUAA
rnacentral:rRNA from 1 species